GCCCGGGUGGUGUAGUAGGUAAGCACAGCGCACGAAAGAUCGUUGACUGCAGGGACCUAGGUUCGAAUCCUAGGCCGGGCA
rnacentral:tRNA from 1 species